GUCUGGCCAUGUGGGAUGUCUGUUCCUCGCUUCCCUCCUGCCAUGGCUGUUAAGUUUCCUGAGGCUUCACCAGAAACCAAGAGGAUUCCAGCACCAUGCUUCCUGUAUAGCCUGGAGAACUCCAAGAAGGAUCGUGUCAGUCCUGCAACUUGUCAGUGGAAUUAAAUUUCAGGCGUUUUAAAGAUAAAUGGUAAAACUGAACUGGAAAUCCAUCUGGCCGGCUGCCUGCUCUAAUGAAUAACCCCACUUUGGCUCGUGCAAUGACUUCUUCCCUUUGGAAUGCAAGUGCGGUGGCAGUGUCAAGGAUGCCUGUGUGUUUGCAGCAGGUUCCUUCCAGAAGCAGCUGCAAGUGCCACCUCCAGGCCAUCUGGCCAAUGUGAGGAAAGGAGGCUGCAAGGGCUUGGCAAAAACAACUUUCUGUUCCUCUGGUAUCCCCUGAUAACUGAUUUCAAGUUAUGGCCAAGGACUGCCUUAUCGCCGUCAGUGGCUGUCAAAAAUU
rnacentral:lncRNA from 1 species